rnacentral:lncRNA from 1 species
AGUGAAAGGAAAUAAGUGAGGACUUUGGAAAGGACAUGGUUUUGACCUGUCCUAUUGCUCCUAUUCCUCAGGGUGACGCUGGUCUUCCAGGGAAAGCAGCUGACAUGAAGAACAUUGAAGUAAUGUUUGAAGACUAUGGCAUAAGGCUGCCCUUGCUGAAGGCACUGAUUGACAGGCUGCUGCAGGACGGCAUGGAGGAGCUUCUGCAGGAGCUAACCACCUCUAGGAGAGUCAAUGAGAAGGAGAAACACGGCUCCAACAUUAUCACUGACUACACAAGAACUGUAAAGUAUGAGAUCUCCAAGGAGCCUCUGACAGAGAUGGACACCAUAGAGGAGGCAGUUGACUCUGACCUAGACAGACAGCUACCAGAACCUAACUCUGAUGCUUUGAAUGAAACGGCGGAGGGCCCCACAUUCUGGAGUCUCACCCCUCUUAAUGGUCUUAAUGGGGUCCAAGACGUGGGGAGGAUAGAGAGCACCUCUAAGGGGAUAGAGGGGACACUGACAGUGGACGAGGACUUCAGUGAAGCUCCCUCCCCCAAGUUGGCUUUAUCAAACUCAACAUUUAACAACACAACGUCUGAAGAGGUAAGGGGUACCUCUUCUACUCGAACCCCACAGCCAAACACUGGCUCUACUCAAAACCACAACCAAACAGUGGCUGUCAAAUUAACUUUUAAAAGUGAACUAUGA